ACUCAAAUGAAUUGACGGGGGCCCGCACAAGCGGUGGAGCAUGUGGUUCAAUUCGACGCAACGCGAAGAACCUUACCCAGGCUCGAACGGUGAGUGACAUCCUAUGAAAGUAGGCUUCCGCAAGGACAGUCACCGAGGUGCUGCAUGGCUGUCGUCAGCUCGUGUCGUGAGAUGUUGGGUUAAGUCCCGCAACGAGCGCAACCCUUGUCCGCUGUUGCCAUCACGUUAUGGUGGGCACUCUGCGGAGACUGCCGGUGAUAAACCGGAGGAAGGUGGGGAUGACGUCAAGUCAGCAUGGCCUUUAUGUCUGGGGCUACACACGUGCUACAAUGGCCGAUACAAACCGUCGCGAUCCCGCAAGGGGGAGCUAAUCGGAGAAAGUCGGUCUCAGUUCGGAUUGCAGGCUGCAACUCGCCUGCAUGAAGUUGGAAUCGCUAGUAAUCGCGGAUCAGCACGCCGCGGUGAAUACGUUCCCGGGCCUUGUACACACCGCCCGU
rnacentral:rRNA from 1 species